rnacentral:rRNA from 1 species
GACGAACGCUGGCGGCGUGCCUAACACAUGCAAGUCGAGCGGACAGAAGGGAGCUUGCUCCCGGAAGUUAGCGGCGGACGGGUGAGUAACACGUGUGCAACCUACCCUGUAGAUCGGGAUAACAUCGAGAAAUCGGUGCUAAUACCGGAUAAUCAUUUGAAGUGCAUGCUUCGAAUGUAAAAGAUGGCUCCGGCUAUCACUACGGGAUGGGCCUGCGGCGCAUUAGCUAGUUGGUAAGGUAAUGGCUUACCAAGGCAACGAUGCGUAGCCGACCUGAGAGGGUGAUCGGCCACACUGGGACUGAGACACGGCCCAGACUCCUACGGGAGGCAGCAGUAGGGAAUCUUCCGCAAUGGACGAAAGUCUGACGGAGCAACGCCGCGUGAGUGAUGAAGGUUUUCGGAUCGUAAAGCUCUGUUGUUAGGGAAGAACAAGUGCCGUUUGAAUAAGGCGGCACCUUGACGGUACCUAACCAGAAAGCCACGGCUAACUACGUGCCAGCCGCCGCCGUAAGAC